AACUCUCUCUGAAAUGUCUUCAUCUGCAGGCGCAUGAAUAAGAUUAUCAUUCUCAUGCUCUUUCUCAUGGGAAUCUGCAGGUACAAUGUUAUCAUUGGUUAUCUUAUCAUCUUCCAUUUCUUGAUUGACAUCUGCUGUCAGGUCAUUUGGUUGAAAACUUUGCUGAACUUCAAUACUGCACUCAUCGACUGCUGUCAGGUCAUUUGGUUGAAAACUUUGCUGAACUUCAAUACUGCAAUCAUCGACAGCAGAGGUGCUUCCUUCAGAAGGGUAUGCACUUUCUGUGUUUGCAAGCUGGC
rnacentral:lncRNA from 1 species